UACGGAGGGCGCAAGCGGUGUUCGGAAUCACUGGGCGUAAAGAGCGUGUAGGCGGCUUUGCAAGUCGGGUGUGAAAUCCCGAGGCUCAACCUCGGAACUGCACUCGAUACUGCUUGGCUCGAGUCCCGGAGAGGGUGGCGGAAUUCCCGGUGUAGGGGUGAAAUCCGUAGAUAUCGGGAGGAACAUCAGUGGCGAAGGCGGCCACCUGGACGGUGACUGACGCUGAGACGCUAAAGCGUGGGGAGCAAAUAGG
rnacentral:rRNA from 1 species